rnacentral:rRNA from 1 species
UACAGAGGUCCCGAGCGUUGUUCGGAUUCACUGGGCGUAAAGGGCGCGUAGGUGGCGCUGUAAGUGGGGUGUGAAAUCCCGGGGCUUAACUCCGGAACUGCAUUCCAUACUGCGGUGCUUGAGGACGGGAGAGGAGACUGGAAUUUACGGUGUAGCAGUGAAAUGCGUAGAGAUCGGAAGGAAGACCAGUGGCGAAGGCGGGUCUCUGGACAGUUCCUGACGCUGAGGCACGAAGGCCAGGGGAGCAAACGGG